AGGAGAGCCCCUUAACCUUGGAACUGAUGCAGUUGGUCGGCUGCUCCACUGACCUUAGAAGAGUGAUUAAUUAAUGAUACAAAUAUCAGAGCUUCAGAAGGAUUUGCUGCUUCAACUAUCCUGGGUUCUGGCAAGCCGGAUUUGUGCCCUACUGGAGCCACGGCCGCCUGUGCUGUUUCCUCUAGCAUUUUGGAAAUAAAAUGGAAAUGGAGUCUGAGGAAGGAAUGCUUGGCUCAACAGCUCUUACCUUCAUCAACACAGUUUUUCAGGAUCAAGGUUAUGUGCAUCAGUCUAUGGAUUGGUAUAUGGAAACAUGAUUCCUGCAAAAUGUGUCAUGUGAGACGAGAAUUUCAACUUAAGCAAACACUGCACAUCAAUAUCACUGAAAAAAAGUAUGCUAGCAGGUAAUGCCAGGAGGUACUCUAACCAAGAAAGCCUGGUGAAGUUAUCUCCUCAGAAGAUAAACUGGAUAAUCAGCACCAGCUGGGGCAGAAAGGAAGGGAAGCUGGUGAAAUGAACAUGUCCACUCUGUGUCAUAGCAAUGACAGAACUUCAGCUGAUUGUUGUCUGUGAUAAAGGAGACAAAGUAUGGCCAACUUGGGUUUUGCAGAAGUCACUGGAAAUCCACAGCUUUCUAUGAAACUUCCCGAUUCUUAAAAGUCUCCAAAACAAGUUGUUCCACAACUGUUUCCUUGGCAUACUCUGGGCCAGGGAGUGCCAGAGAUAAAGUGAAGAACAAAGGAGACAGAAACAAAAGUUUAUGCCCUGGCUCAUGCUUACCCUCGUGGAGCUUAGAUUCCACUGAAAGAUACAGACAAUAUAACAAAUAAGUGAAUGAUACUUUGGAAAGUGGAAAUUGUUCAAUGAUGAUAAUAAUCACUCAAGUAUAUCAUGAAGAAUUAUCUAGCUCGGCACUUUCUCCUGAAGUGUAUUACCAGAGAAAUCCAAAAUCUCUGCCAAUGAAACAAGCAAAGCUUCU